UCGACGGGAGAAUUGCUAGCUUGCUAAUAAUUCUCUAGUGGCGCACGGGUGAGUAACACGUGAGUAACCUGCCCCCAAGAGUGGGAUAGCCCCGGGAAACUGGGAUUAAUACCGCAUAGAAUCGCAAGAUUAAAGCAGCAAUGCGCUUGGGGAUGGGCUCGCGUCCUAUUAGUUAGUUGGUGAGGUAACGGCUCACCAAGGCGAUGACGGGUAGCCGGUCUGAGAGGAUGUCCGGCCACACUGGAACUGAGACACGGUCCAGACACCUACGGGUGGCAGCAGUCGAGAAUCAUUCACAAUGGGGGAAACCCUGAUGGUGCGACGCCGCGUGGGGGAAUGAAGGUCUUCGGAUUGUAAACCCCUGUCAUGUGGGAGCAAAUUAAAAAGAUAGUACCACAAGAGGAAGAGACGGCUAACUCUGUGCCAGCAGCCGCGGUAAUACAGAGGUCUCAAGCGUUGUUCGGAAUCACUGGGCGUAAAGCGUGCGUAGGCGGUUUCGUAAGUCGUGUGUGAAAGGCGGGGGCUCAACCCCCGGACUGCACAUGAUACUGCGAGACUAGAGUAAUGGAGGGGGAACCGGAAUUCUCGGUGUAGCAGUGAAAUGCGUAGAUAUCGAGAGGAACACUCGUGGCGAAGGCGGGUUCCUGGACAUUAACUGACGCUGAGGCACGAAGGCCAGGGGAGCGAAAGGGAUUAGAUACCCCUGUAGUCCUGGCAGUAAACGGUG
rnacentral:rRNA from 1 species